UUAUUGUUUCCCUUCAGCGAGGGAUAGGGAGGUCCCAGGGCCUUCACCUGAGUAUUUAUCUGCCUACCCCCAUCACAUGGCCUCAGAGAGGAGCUAGAGUAUACAGUUGGGGGAGGAGCCUAAGGGGCUCCGUCCGCGCAGCUGUGGAGAAGCCAUAUUUAUCCCUGCUGGAGGAAGACUUUCAAGUUCUCACUCCUGUAAGUUGGCCCUCAGUGAUGCAACCCAGUAAACUCAAGUGAACUCAUACCUUGCUUUGUGACUGGUGGCCUUAGGAGGAAGGGUCACCAUUGUUUACAUCCCCCCUGUAGUCUCCCCUGUGGAAUGACAUUUUAGUGAGAAGAUUGUCUACACACGUGAAGCUUGUCUUCCUAUCAAUUGAUCAAUGACUGAUAUCUAUCAAAUUUCUCCAUCUAUCAGUUCAAUAGUUCCUACUCAUUCUGUUUCUCUAGAGCAUCGGAAGUCAGAGAGAUCUCACUUCUAGCUGAACAGCCCACCUGUCUACUUCCUUGCCUAGACAGUAUGUAGCGGUGACCCUGUGCACAAGAUGGAGUACGUGGCGUACCCAGCAGCCUGCAGCUGAUGCUGUUACCAGGGACCAGCACGAUGCACUUCAUCUGCAUAGUCACUAAUGAGAAGGCUGAGCAAACAUCCUGCAGGCCACGACUCCAGAAGACAGCGGUGCUCCUGGGACCAGUAGCCUCUAUCCAGGAAGUCUCCAGGGGAGAGAGAGAGGCCUGUGCCCAUUAUCAACUCUGCCGUCCAGUCUAGAAACUGUGGUUGGACAAGGUCAUCAUCUCUAUCCCCAGGGCCAUAUUUGUCACCCAACCACAGACAGAGCUGUCAUCACUUCACCAUCUGCUGAGCCUUCUUGUAAAGACACGGUAUCCGCAAGUGUCUACCCUCACAGUAGCUGCCUCUUUUCCCAUUGUUAUUCUCUGGGAGCCCACCCUCCAAACAGCGCAUGCCCAGCCUCCAAACAGCGCAUGCCCAGCCCAAUAAACACUGCAAAGC
ensembl:lncRNA